AUUGAACGCUGGCGGCAUGCCUUACACAUGCAAGUCGAACGGCAGCGGGGGAGAAGCUCGCUUUUCCUGCCGGCGAGUGGCGAACGGGUGAGUAAUACAUCGGAACGUGCCCUGUAGUGGGGGAUAACUAGUCGAAAGAUUAGCUAAUACCGCAUACGACCUGAGGGUGAAAGGGGGGGACCGCAAGGCCUCAUGCUAUAGGAGCGGCCGAUGUCUGAUUAGCUAGUUGGUGGGGUAAAGGCCUUCCAAGGCGACGGAUAGUAGGUGGUCCGAGGGGGCGAACAGGCACCCUUGGAAUGAGGAAACGCCCAAAACCCCAACGGAGGGAACAAGUGGGAAUUUUGGACAAAGGGGCGAAAGCCUGUCCCGGCAAUGCGGGGGGUGUGAGAAGGGCCUCGGGUUUGAAAGCACCUUUGUCCGGAAAGAAAUGGCUCUGGUUAAUACCUGGGGUCGAUGACGGUACCGGAAGAAUAAGGACCGGCUAACUACGUGCCAGCCGCCGCGGUAA
rnacentral:rRNA from 1 species